rnacentral:rRNA from 1 species
UACGUAGGUGACAAGCGUUGUCCGGAUUUACUGGGCGUAAAGAGCGUGUAGGCGGCCUGGUAGGUCAGUUGUGAAAACUCGAGGCUCAACCUCGAGACGCCGAUUGAAACCAUCAGGCUAGAGUCCGGAAGAGGAGAGUGGAAUUCCCGGUGUAGCGGUGAAAUGCGCAGAUAUCGGGAAGAACACCCGUGGCUAAGGCGGCUCUCUAGUACGGUACUGACGCUGAGACGCGAAAGCGUGGGGAGCGAACAGG